rnacentral:rRNA from 1 species
GGGCCCGCACAAGCGGUGGAGUAUGUGUUAUCGAGCACGCGAGAUCUCACGAGGUUUGACAUCCUGCGAAUCUCUUGGAAACGAGAGAGUGCCUUCGGGAACGCAGUGACAGGUGGUGCAUGGCUGUCGUCAGCUCGUGUCGUGAGAUGUUGGUUAAGUCCCGCAACGAGCGCAACCCACGUCGUUAGUUGCCAGCAUUUAGUUGGGCACUCUAGCGAGACCGCCGGUGAUAAACCGGAGGAAGGUGUGGAUGACGUCAAGUCAUCAUGCCCCUUACAUCCUGGGCUACACACGUACUACAAUGCUACGGACAAAGGGCAGCAAACUCGCGAGAGCUAGCA